rnacentral:rRNA from 1 species
CCUACGGGUGGCAGCAGUGGGGAAUAUUUGGCAAUGGGCGCAAGCCUGACCCAGCAACGCCGCGUGAAGGAAGAAGGCCCUCGGGUUGUAAACUUCUUUUGUCAGGGACGAAGCAAGUGACGGUACCUGACGAAUAAGCCACGGCUAACUACGUGCCCGCAGCCGCGGUACUCCGUCGGUGGCACGCGUUAUCCGGAUUUCCUGGGUGUAAAGGGCGUGUAGGCGGGGAAGCAAGUCAGAUGUGAAAGUCCAGGGCUCAACACUGGAACUGCAUUUGAAAAUGUUUUUCUUGAGUGAUGGUGAGGCAGGCGGAAUUCCGGGUGUAGCGGUGAAAUGCGUAGAUAUACGGAGGAACACCAGUGGCGAAGGCGGCCUGCGGGACAUUAACGGACGCUCAGGCACGAAGGCGUGGGUAUCGAACAGGAUUAGAUACCCCUGUAGUC